rnacentral:rRNA from 1 species
CAGUAGCCGCGGGAAAACGUAGGUGGCAAGCGUUGUCCGGAAUUAUUGGGCGUAAAGGGCUCGCAGGCGGUUUCUUAAGUCUGAUGUGAAAGCCCCCGGCUCAACCGGGGAGGGUCAUUGGAAACUGGGAAACUUGAGUGCAGAAGAGGAGAGUGGAAUUCCACGUGUAGCGGUGAAAUGCGUAGAGGUGUGGAGGAACACCAGUGGCGAAGGCGACUCUCUGGUCUGUAACUGACGCUGAGGAGCGAAAGCGUGGGGAGCGAACAGGAUUAGAUACCCGAGUAGUCCCUGUCUCUUAUAC